CCAGCUUCCUUUGCCACAAGGCUUAGAUCAAGUGUAGUAUCUGUUCUUUUCAGUUUUAAUCAACUGAAACCCGUCCAACACAAAAAUGGGCGUCGACGAUUAAAAAUCCCAAUUUUUGCAACACCGAUCCCAACACGCGGCUGUCGGGCUUGCUCGCAGCCGUUCCUGGGAUUACCGUGUCUCUGGUACCACACUGCUUCCAGAAUGACGCGAAAAAUG
rnacentral:snRNA from 1 species